rnacentral:rRNA from 1 species
UACGGGAAGGGCAAGCGUUAUCCGGAAUUAUUGGGCGUAAAGAGCUCGUAGGCGGUUUGUCGCGUCUGCUGUGAAAACUGGAGGCUCAACCUCCAGCUUGCAGUGGGUACGGGCAAACUAGAGUGCGGUAGGGGAGAUUGGAAUUCCUGGUGUAGCGGUGGAAUGCGCAGAUAUCAGGAGGAACACCGAUGGCGAAGGCAGAUCUCUGGGCCGCAACUGACGCUGAGGAGCGAAAGCAUGGGGAGCGAACAGG